rnacentral:rRNA from 1 species
AAUGAACGUUGGCGGCGUGGAUUAGGCAUGCAAGUCGAGCGAGAAGCUUCCUUCGGGAAGUGGAAAGCGGCGAAAGGGAGAGUAACGCGUGGAUUAUCUACCCUCGGAUCCGGGAUAGCUGCGGGAAACUGCAGGUAAUACCGGAUAACGUCUCCGGACCAAAGGUGUGAUUCCGUCCGAGGAUGAGUCCGCGUCCUAUUAGCUUGUUGGUGGGGUAACGGCCUACCAAGGCGAUGAUGGGACUGGGUGUGAGAGCACGACCCAGCUCACUGGGACUGAGACACUGCCCAGACACCUACGGGUGGCUGCAGUCGAGAAUCUUCGGCAAUGGGCGCAAGCCUGACCGAGCGACGCCGCGUGCGGGAUGAAGGCCUCGGUUGUAA